GCAUUCUGCACAUCCUCGGUCGUUGUCAAGAUCGGAUGGUCCUGAUUUAGUGCUCGGUAAUUUUUAUUUUAAAACAAAUUAAAAGUUGCAUUGAAUUAUGGACUGCCUGAUCUUGAUUACGACCGCAAAUGUGCCUCAUUGGUGUGAGUGGCAAAUUUGUGAUUGCACACAGUUUGAUUUCACUCCUCUUGCAGGAGCUUAGUGAUGAGUGAGAAUUCAAGAGCAAAGUUAAUGGC
rnacentral:lncRNA from 1 species